UCGGAUCUCACCAAUUCUAUCCCUUCCAAACCCAACCCCUUCCAUCGUCGUCUUCUUCCUCUUCCACAUUCAACACCACACGCGGUACAGUUGGCCUUCAUGUUUCUGAGCCAAUUUCCGCAUUCUGCAACCGAAUUCAUACUCUCAAUGAAAAGAAAAGGAAAAUUAAAAAAACAAUGACGAAUCCAAAGUUCUCUACUAUUCGAGAUAAAAGUGAUGGAGUUGAGCUUGAAGGUUUGGACCUACCUAAGGCUA